rnacentral:misc_RNA from 1 species
UUCACGAACCCAAACUCCUCCUCGAUCAUGCACGUAUCGAGAACGAAUAAGAAAACAGGUGAAGCAGACGGUGCAGGGGCCGCAUUCAUGGGAUUAUUGGGAUUGACAUUAGGGUCAGAAAGCGUGUACUGCACAGUCGUGUAUUGAGGGUAUAGCUCAGCUGGGAGAUUAGUCUCGGAGAUCAGGGAGUAGUGAGGAGGAAAAUGAUUGCGCAGGAAACAAAAGGGGCAGAUCCAGAUCUUG